ensembl:lncRNA
CGCGCGCGGUGCGUUGCCAAGCACCGAGGUCGCCGCCGGCCCCGGGACCCCCCCCCGGGAUCCCCAGAGCCGUGGGUCAUGCGGCGCCGGAGCGAUCGGGCCACCAAAGAGAAGGCGCUGGUGGCCACAGAGGAGGAGAUGAAGAGCGCGGGGAGGAAGGUCGAGCAGGGCCCAGAGGAGUUCCAGUGCUCCGGCAUCCUGGAGCAGGACUUCCCGGAGCUCUGCGCCCGCGCCGGCAUCGCCCAUGUCCCCAGGGUCACGCCGCGGCCGGCCCCGAGCUUCCCUGCGGAUGCGGAGCCGCCCGCGGGGACGCUGGAGGAGGCGCUGUCCCGCAUCGAGCACAGGUACAGCCACUUCCAGCCCCGCAUCCAAGUGGAGCGGGAGCAGGAGGACCCCCGGAGCGUCCGCGCCGUGUUCCUGCGAGGCUGGAAGCUCGAGGAGGACAUACUGGGGGUCCUGAGCCAGUGUCUGCCCGCGCUGGGGGCGCUGCAGGCAGUGCACCUCUGGAACGUGGCGCUGCCGGAGCCGCUGCUGCCGGUGCUGGCGGCGCUGCCAACGCGCUGCUCCCGCCUGCGGACGCUCAGCCUGGAGGGGAAUCCUUUGCCUGAAGCCGCUUUCGAGCUGUUGAUGGGCAGCGACAGCCUCACCUCUCGCUGCGGAGCUGCAGCAUCGGGGACUCGGCCGCGCAGCGCAUCGGGACGAGCCUCUCGACGCCGACGAGCUGUAACCAGCGCCUGGAGUCGCUGGUGCUGAGCUUCAACCACGUCUCGGACCUCGGCGCGCAGCACAUCGCGGAGGGGCUGCGCCUGAACCGCUCUCUGCUCUCCCUGUCCCUGGCCAGCAACGACAUCGGUGACGCCGGCGCCUCCCGGCUGGCCGAGGUCCUGGCGCCGUUCCCGCUGACACACGAGGAGGUGGUUCAGCGGCGGCGGCUGCUCCUGGCCGAGGCGAUGGGACGGUCCCGCGCGUCCCCAAAGGAGACGGAGCCCCACGGCGAGCACGGGGCGAGCCGGCGCGGCAGCACCCUGGGCAACAAGCUGCCCCCGGCCAGGCAUGGCAAAGCCGCCCCCAAGAAGAAGGUGAGCGGGGCCUCGGCUUCCCCUCCCAGCGGUGCAUGGGGCAGAGGGUCCGUCCUGCAGCCCCCUGCCCCGUCCUUUGCAGGAGUCGCAGCGGAAAGAGGAGGUCAAACAGUCCAAGAAGUUGCCGGAGCUGAAGGUGACCCGCAGCCGGGACCUCAAGUCGGGCGCGCAGGAGAGGCUGAGCCCGGAGCCGGGGGCGCGCCGCGGGACCGGCGGGUGGGACGCGGGGAUCCCGCGCUCGCUGCGGGACCCGCUGGCAGGCGCGGCCGAGCCGCCCGCGGCGCUGCUGGAGGCGCGGCAGCAGCGGGGCGCGGUGGUGCUGCCCGGGAACCGGGCGCUGCUCAACCUCAGCCUGGCCCACAACCGCGUGUCCGAGCGCGGCCUCGGCGCCUUCCUGGCGGCGCUGGAAGCGCAGCAGCGGGAGAAGCAGCCGAAGGUGCCGGGGCAGCAGGGGCUGCUGUGCCUCGGGCUGGAGAGGAACCGCAUCCCCCCCACGAGCCCGGCCCUCGCCCGGCUGCAGGAGCUGCUGCCGCCAGACCCCGACCCCAAAGGGCAGGAGCCGGAGGAGGAGCAGGAUGCGGGCACUUGAGCUGGUCCCUGCGGCACCGCACAGCACUGGGGGGGCGGGGGGGCCGGGGGGCCGGGUCCCCACCUUCCCCUUGGAAACCACCCCCAAACCCCAAACCUCCGCGGUGGAGAGGAGGAAAAGAAUCCGGGAAGGAGGAAAAGAACCUGGAGCCAGGAGGUCCAACAG